rnacentral:rRNA from 1 species
UACGUAGGGUACGAGCGUUAAUCGGAAUUACUGGGCGUAAAGCGUGCGCAGGCGGUUUUGUAAGUCUGUCGUGAAAUCCCCGGGCUCAACCUGGGAAUUGCGAUGGAGACUGCAAGGCUAGAAUCUGGCAGAGGGGGGUAGAAUUCCACGUGUAGCAGUGAAAUGCGUAGAGAUGUGGAGGAACACCGAUGGCGAAGGCAGCCCCCUGGGUCAAGAUUGACGCUCAUGCACGAAAGCGUGGGGAGCAAACAGG